GACGAACGCUGGCGGCGUGCCUAAUACAUGCAAGUCGAGCGCAGGAAGCUGACGGAACUCUUCGGAGGGAAGGCAGUGGAAUGAGCGGCGGACGGGUGAGUAACACGUAAGGAACCUGCCUCAAGGAUUGGGAUAACUCCGAGAAAUCGGAGCUAAUACCGGAUAGUUCAACGGACCGCAUGGUCCGCUGAUGAAAGGCGCUUCGGCGUCACCUUGAGAUGGCCUUGCGGUGCAUUAGCUAGUUGGUGGGGUAACGGCCUACCAAGGCGACGAUGCAUAGCCGACCUGGGAGGGUGAUCGGCCACACUGGGACUGGGACACGGCCCAGACUCCUACGGGAGGAAGAAGUAGGGAAUCUUCCACAAUGGACGAAAGUCUGAUGGAGCAACGCCGCGUGAGUGAUGAAGGUUUUCGGAUCGUAAAACUCUGUUGUAAGGGAAGAACACGUACGAGAGGGAAUGCUCGAACCUUGACGGUACCUUACGAGAAAGCCACGGCUAACUACGUGCCAGCAGCCGCCGUAA
rnacentral:rRNA from 1 species